rnacentral:rRNA from 1 species
GGGCGAGGUUGCUUCGGUAACUGAGCUAGCGGCGGACGGGUGAGUAAUGCUUAGGAAUCUGCCUAUUAGUGGGGGACAACAUUCCGAAAGGAAUGCUAAUACCGCAUACGCCCUACGGGGGAAAGCAGGGGAUCUUCGGACCUUGCGCUAAUAGAUGAACCUAAGUCAGAUUAGCUAGUUGGUGGGGUAAAGGCCUACCAAGGCGACGAUCUGUAGCGGGUCUGAGAGGAUGAUCCGCCACACUGGGACUGAGACACGGCCCAGACUCCUACGGGAGGCAGCAGUGGGGAAUAUUGGACAAUGGGCGCAAGCCUGAUCCAGCCAUGCCGCGUGUGUGAAGAAGGCCUUUUGGUUGUAAAGCACUUUAAGCGAGGAGGAGGCUACUUGGAUUAAUACUCUAGGAUAGUGGACGUUACUCGCAGAAUAAGCACCGGCUAACUCUGUGCCAGCAGCCGCGGUAAUACAGAGGGUGCGAGCGUUAAUCGGAUUUGCUGGGCGUAAAGCGUGCGUAGGCGGCUUCUUAAGUCGGAUGUGAAAUCCCUGAGCUUAACUUAGGAAUUGCAUUCGAUACUGGGAAGCUAGAGUAUGGGAGAGGAUGGUAGAAUUCCAGGUGUAGCGGUGAAAUGCGUAGAGAUCUGGAGGAAUACCGAUGGCGAAGGCAGCCAUCUGGCCUAAUACUGACGCUGAGGUACGAAAGCAUGGGGAGCAAACAGGAUUAGAUACCCUGGUAGUCCAUGCCGUAAACGAUGUCU